GACGAACGCUGGCGGCGUGCUUAAUACAUGCAAGUCGAGCGGGGUUACUGCGACAGAUCCCUUCGGGGUGACGUUGCUUUAACCUAGCGGCGGACGGGUGAGUAACGCGUGGGUAACCUACCCUAAAGCUCGGGAUAACAGUGGGAAACCGCUGCUAAUACCGGAUGACUUUAACCUAUGGCAUCAUGGGUUAAAGAAAGAUUUAUCGCUUUAGGAUGGGCCCGCGUCCCAUUAGCUAGUUGGUGAGGUAACGGCUCACCAAGGCGACGAUGGGUAGCCGGCCUGAGAGGGUGUACGGCCACACUGGGACUGAGACACGGCCCAGACUCCUACGGGAGGCAGCAGUAGGGAAUAUUGCGCAAUGGACGGAAGUCUGACGCAGCGACGCCGCGUGAGCGAUGAAGGCCUUCGGGUCGUAAAGCUCUGUCCUUGGGGAAGAAGGUCUUCGGACUUGACGGUACCCAAGAAGAAAGCCCCGGCUAACUACGUGCCAGCAGCCGCGGUAAUACGUAGGGGGCGAGCGUUGUCCGGAAUUACUGGGCGUAAAGGGUGCGUAGGCGGCCCUUUAAGUCAGAUGUGAAAGGCCACGGCUUAACCGUGGGAUUGCAUUUGAAACUGGAGGGCUUGAGUGUCGGAAAGGGUAGUGGAAUUCCCAGUGUAGCGGUGAAAUGCGUAGAUUUUGGGAGGAACACCAGUGGCGAAGGCGACUACCUGGACGAUAACUGACGCUAAGGCACGAAAGCUAGGGGAGCAAACAGG
rnacentral:rRNA from 1 species